AGAACCCAUGGCAACUUCUGCUUUCAUGUUACUUCUGUUUUUGCCCUUGGUUCAAGAAACUGUAAGUGGAAAACAAGGCUUGAGAAAAAGAGAAGAGAAGACAGGGAACUAAGGCAAUGAAAGACUGAGCAGAGAUGGCAGCUCUGAAGAAACCCUGCAGUGUCCCUCUCCUGUCCUUGGAGCAGUUUCAUUUCACAGCCUUUGUGGGGUUUUGAGCCAGAGGAGAGUUCCUCCUCCUACGUCAGUUUCGCUCAAUGUGUCUUCUCUUCUACAGCCCAGACUGUGAUGAAAUACAAACUCCACCCCUUGUUAAAGAAGGUGACCUCCAAGCAUAUAAAUAUCUUUCCCAUGGCUCAGGGCUACUAACUUCUGGAGACGUUUUUAAAGAGUUCCAGUAAGCACAGGCUGGCUGGAGCUUCCUCCAUGGAGGCGCUGGCUUUCACAGAGGGGCCCAACCCUCACAGUGACCCCCAAACAGCAAGAAACUAUAGGAUUACCCUGUGUCUUGCAGCAUGUUUGGUCAUCUUGAUGCUGGUUUUACUUCCAUUUUCUAUCGCCUGCAUUCUUCUCCAUCACAAACAGAAACAAUAUGCAAAGUGAAAUGGUCAUCUGUCAAGAUUCUCCCUUUGCCAGUUCUCCAGCCCAGCAAAGGUGUACAAAAAUGCAAGCACAAAGGUAAAGCUUGCAUCCUUAUUCAAGUAUAAUAAUGAAGAUCUGAAGAAGAAGAAGGAACUGAUGACUCGUUUCCUUUUUGCUUCAUGAGGAACAAUAGCUAAAUACUGGGGGAAAUUCAGUUUAUGACUCUAGAAUAUGGGUACACUAGUGGCCAAAAUUGUGGAAACAUUUUGGGGAAAGUGUAUUUCCAAGGUUUGAUGGCUCAUAACACCACUUCUUCUUUUUUAGUAAUACCAUAAAAUAUCAAUGGAAUGAAGAAUGUAAUGUAACAAAGUUUGUUCAAUUAUCUGUAUUCUAUCAAAAGUUAUAGCCAAAGAACCAGAAAAAGGAAGCACAACUUGCUUAGGUUGAUAUGCAGUAGCUUUCCUUCAUUUGAAUGUAGCCAAUGAGCACGGGUGUUUAGAGAGCCAAUCGGGUGUCAUCUUGUUUUGGCAAUGAUUCAGUCAGGUCAGGGUAGGAUUCAGCUACUAGAGCUGAGAGGACAUUGGUCAGUGUGUUGUGUGAUUGCUAUCAAGUUGGUUGGAUUUUUUGUGUUCUUUCAUUUAGUGAGCUUGUAAAACAUAAUAAAUAACUUUAAAGAAAUGGCGCAAAGAGUUGACUGGUCACUCAGAAAGUGAAGUAAAAUAGUACUAUUAAGUGAAAAAAGCUAAAGUUAUAAAGAAAUUAGAAGAAAAAAUGGUGGAAACUUAACCAAAGGUGGCAUUUCUAAUUUUUUGAAGAGGUAUAAGGAGACUCAGUCACUACAAAAUUAGACUGGUAAAGGCAGGAAAAGGUGAACAACAGCAAGUGAUGAUCGAGGAAUUGAGAGAUUGUGCCCACAUGACAGAAAAAAAUCAUCUGAGUGUAUACAAGAUGACAUGGUGUGAUGUAAUGUGAAGUUGAGUGCAAGGACAGUUUGGUGCAGACUGCAGGAAUAUGGUCUAAAUGCUAGAAUUCCAAGGGAAAAGCCAUUGCUAUCUCUCAAACAAAGGUUGAAAAGGCUAAACUGGGCUAAACCCAUGUUAACUGGACAGCGGAAUAAUAGGACAGUGUUAUUUGGAGUGAUGAGACCAAAAUCUCUUUGCUCGGUCGUGAAAUAUGUGAGAAGAAUUGCAGAAGAUUUACAUCUUCUUAAAGGUAAAGGACUCCUGGAUAGUUAAGUCCCGUUGAAUUUGACUCUGGGGUUGCGACGCUCAUCUCGCUUUCAGGCCAAGGCAGCUGCGUUUGUCCACAGACAGCUUUCCGGGUCAUGCGGCCAGCAGGACUAAACGGCUUCUGGCACAACGGGACACCGUGACGGAAGCCAGAGUGCAUGGAAACG
ensembl:lncRNA